AUGGACCAGACGCCGCGGCGCCGCCGCCGGAGACGCGCCGAGGCCGCCCCCUCCGAUGGCGCCCCGGACACGGCGGAGUACAGCCUCGACGAGCCGACCAUGGCGGAGAAGCUCGCGGCCCUGAGUCCGCCCGCCGACGCGGCGGGCGUCGCCGCCGUGGUGCCCCCCAGCGCCGACUCCGUCCACAUCCUGCUCAGGCAGGCCCUGCAGGCCGACGACCGCGCCGCGCUGCUCGGCUGCCUGUACAACAGAGACGCCAAGGUUAUCGUGAAGUCGGUAUCACUCCUGACGCCAGCAGACGCUGUGAAGUUCCUCAAAUCCCUGAUAUCGCUCAUGCAGUCUAGGGGUUCAGUGCUGGUUUGCUUGCUCCCAUGGCUUCAAGCUCUGCUUAGCCGGCACAUGAGCAGCAUAGUGUCUCAGGAUUCCUCUCUGCUGCUGCUCAACUCGCUUUAUCAGCUGAUUGACGCAAGAACAUCGACCUUCGCAUCGUCGCUCAAACUGUCUACGUGCCUAGACUAUCAUUUCAGCGAGAUCUGCGAUGAUGAAUCCGAUGAAGAAGAGGGAGGCCCUCCGCUUAUCUACGAGGACGUGGAUUCUGAUGAGGAAGAUUCUGAAGUUGAUGAUGCUAUGGAAACCGAGGACAAGGGGAGUGAUGGGGAAGAUUCCGAGGUCGACGAUGCCAUGGAGAGAGAGAGAAAGGGGACCGACAAGGAAGAGUCUGAAGUUGAUGAUGAGUGA
rnacentral:rRNA from 1 species